rnacentral:lncRNA from 1 species
UUUGGUAUCAUAAUCAAGGAAGAAUUGGAGAUAUAUUUUAAGUAAUGGAAUUUUGAAAAUUCAGUGUUUCGAAAUUUUGCUUAUAAAUCGUGAGUCAUUGCCUAUAGUAUAGGAUUUGGAUUCUGAUUGUUUACUUCAAUGUAAAAUAAGAAUAACAACAGUACCACUCACAGAGUAGGACUUUGCAGGUGUUCAAAGUGAAAGAUCUCUUCAAUUGCCUUCAAUCAAGGAUAUGAAUUGUCUUAGGUCUGCUUCCAGAGAAAGAAACCCCGAGAUGGGAUUUAAGAGCAGAGGAUUGAGGAUAUCCUUCAGAAGAAAGCAAAUGAAGUAAACAGAAUAAGAUUAGGGGAUGAUACUAAGCAAGAAUGUGAGUUAAACAUGCAUGGGGGCUCUGGAGAAACAGUUGCACUUGAGAAUUGUUCUUUGAGGCAAAGGGAGCAGCUAUUUUUAUCUCUGUCUGUCAUGGCCAGUCACUGGCUCUCAGCUACAAGUGGAGGAUGGCGAUGAGGAGUAAUAUGCUUUUUCUACAGGGCAAAGUGACUCCUGGUCAGCCAGUGGGAACUGUCUGGAGAAGAGGCAGCUGUAUAUGGAAAGCAGCCAGCACACAGCAGAUGACGGAGGUCUGCUGCAGCCCCAGUAAUGGCACCAUUUCUCUUAAAACCAGGUUGGAGAAGCACUUCUGGAAUGGCAAAGUAAAGACUUCCAAAAUUCUUCUCCUCAAAAAAAUAUAGAAAGAAACAAAAGUAUAUCUAUUUGCAGAUGACUAUCUUGUACAUAGAAAUACUAAGGAGUCUACCAAAAAACUGUUAGAACCUGUAACCAAGUUCAGCAAGUUUGCAAGAUUCAAAGUCAAUAAAGACCUCAUUCUAUAGCA